CUGAAGUGCCUGGUCCCUGCACCCACCAAAACGGUUCCCUCCAGCCCUGCUGUUGUUCCGUUUCUGUCCGCCAGGGGGAGACAAGGCGCAGGCUCCCUCCCGUCCGGCUUUCCUUGCGCGUUCACAGAGCCUCGAGAGCGCGCGGCCGUGCGCGGGACCCCGCGGCCGUGCGCGCCCGCGGGACUCCCAGGGGCGGGGCGCGCACGCGCAGACGGCUGCGCUUCCCGCGUGGCAGGACCGGGUAGGGUUGAGGCUGCAGGCUCCCUGCAGGUCAGAAGCGGGGACUUGCGGGAAUCUCGUCUUUCUCCGGGACCAGUCUUCCGCUUGGAUUUGCGGGAGGGACGACCUGACCCCCUUCAGAGUUAGCAUUUCUUCCCCAUCAGAAGGCUGUCACCUGCUGCUUGGUUCACCCUAGCCCUGCAGCAGCGAGGGCACCGGGAACAGGCAUCCUAGGGGAAUGGCCCUCGGACAGGGAGGGAGUUUGGGGGGCCUAAGGCUGUUCUCAUUCUGCGGUCAACAAAGACGGAUAGCUCCUCACGUUCCCUCAGACUGCCCGGGCCACGGGAGGGGGGAUGGGGGAUGGGGUGAGGGCAGAGAGUCAGGAUUGCCCAUGACCUGGUCCUGAUUUUUCACUUCCCCUAAUCCCUUCACCCGUUAGCCAGAAAGGACCCAGAACCCUCGACAGUUGUAGGGGGCCUGUUUUGAAGACCUCACCACGCCAUCCGAAUUCUAAUGUUGGCGGUGAAUAGGGGAGGGUGGACAGGAGAUCCUCGCAGCCCUGUGACGUCGGGGCUGGCCCUGGGCGCUGGGCAGGUCCCGUGAACGCCCUCGACUGCUGUGUCUAGGAGAAACCCUCCCUGAUUUCGGAGACCUCCCGCAGAAGAAGGUCAACUCGGAUGAGCCUUCCCAACUUCUGGCGUUUGCCUUCUGCGCGGCAGCGGCCCCCACCUGCCCUGGUUUCAGGAGCACUGGCCGCAGAUGGCAGUCAGGUGAGCCCCAGUCAGCCUGAAUCCUUACCUUGCUUGUCUUAUUCCCCUGCUCCAGCCUGGCCCCUCCCAGUCCAGAAUCACACCUGCAGGUGUUCAUGGAGGGCCACAGUCUUACCCUCCCUGGGGCUGCCCUCCAGUCCGGGACUGCUGUGGACAGCUCACCCAGAGAAGAGUCCAGCCAAACAGUGUAUCAUACCUUUAAGGUUCUGGGGCUUUCCGUCUCCAAGCAUCACCUCCUGCGUUGAAGGUAUAUUUGGUCGAGAGGAGUUUCCUUCCACCGGCUGACAUGCAUUUUCGUGAAAGGUGGUCCAGCCGUGGGGUUUACGAGAGGCCUAAGGAAGCGCUCCCAGCACUGGGCGUGGUCCCAUUUAUAUGGAACGUCAGAACAGGCAAAUUUCCCGACACACAGCAGAGGAGUGGUGGCCUGGG